rnacentral:rRNA from 1 species
AGAGUUUGAUCAUGGCUCAGGAUGAACGCUAGCUACAGGCUUAACACAUGCAAGUCGAGGGGCAGCAUGGUCUUAGCUUGCUAAGGCCGAUGGCGACCGGCGCACGGGUGAGUAACGCGUAUCCAACCUGCCUUACACUCUUGGACAGCCUUCUGAAAGGGAGAUUAAUACAAGAUGUUAUCAUGAGUAAGCAUUUUCACAUGAUUAAAGGUUUACCGGUGUAAGAUGGGGAUGCGUUCCAUUAGAUAGUAGGCGGGGUAACGGCCCACCUAGUCUUCGAUGGAGUAGGGUUCUGAGAGGAACGGUCCCCACAUUGGAACUGAGACACGGUACCAACUCUACGGGAGGCAGCA